AUGAACGCUGGCGGCGUGCCUAAUACCUGCAAGUCGCGCGGACAGACGAGGAGCUUGCUCCUCUGACGUUAGCGGCGGACGGGUGAGUAACACGUGGAUAACCUACCUAUAAGACUGGGAUAACUUCGGGAAACCGGAGCUAAUACCGGAUAAUAUAUUGAACCGCAUGGUUCAAUAGUGAAAGACGGUUUUGCUGUCACUUAUAGAUGGAUCCGCGCCGCAUUAGCUAGUUGGUAAGGUAACGGCUUACCAAGGCAACGAUGCGUAGCCGACCUGAGAGGGUGAUCGGCCACACUGGAACUGAGACACGGUCCAGACUCCUACGGGAGGCAGCAGUAGGGAAUCUUCCGCAAUGGGCGAAAGCUUGACGGGGCAACGCCGCGUGAGUGAUGAAGGUCUUCGGAUCGUAAAACUCUGUUAUUAGGGAAGAACAAAUGUGUAAGUAACUAUGCACGUCUUGACGGUACCUAAUCAGAAAGCCACGGCUAACUACGUG
rnacentral:rRNA from 1 species